rnacentral:lncRNA from 1 species
UUUUACGGUAAACGUUGUACAAAAUGGCAUCAAAACGCUUAUACAGUACUUUUUAUAUUAUAAUACCAUUCUUUAUGAACUAUGUGUUAAGUAUGUUUUUCCUAUCGCUUUUAGAUAAAGAGGUUUUGUCUUGAAAUACGAUAAGUUGUCUGUGACUUUUCCGUCGAAACAUCACAUUUGUCAUAGCAUUCUGUCUUCAAUUAACAAUACUUGAUUGUGUUGAAUCUUGGAGAUUGUCAU